GAUGAACGCUAGCGGGAGGCUUAAUACAUGCAAGUCGAGGGGUAACAGUCCCGGUUUACCGGGAGCUGACGACCGGCGCACGGGUGAGUAACGCGUACACAACCUACCUUUAAGAGGGGGAUAGGCUCGGGAAACUGAGAUUAAUACCCCAUAGUAUUGUUUUAUAGAUUAUUGGACAAUUAAAGUGUUAGCGCUUAAAGAUGGGUGUGCGUAUGAUUAGCUAGUUGGUAAGGUAAUGGCUUACCAAGGCUACGAUCAUUAGGGGGCGUGAGAGCGUGGCCCCCCACACGGGUACUGAGACACGGACCCGACUCCUACGGGAGGCAGCAGUAAGGAAUAUUGGACAAUGGGCGCAAGCCUGAUCCAGCUAUCCCGCGUGCAGGAUGACUGCCCUAUGGGUUGUAAACUGCUUUUGUCAGGGACGAAACCCCUUUAUUUAUAAAGGGCUGACGGUACCUGAAGAAUAAGCACCGGCUAACUCCGUG
rnacentral:rRNA from 1 species